rnacentral:hammerhead_ribozyme from 1 species
UUACUGCUGAAGAGUCCCACAAUAGGACGAAACAGUCGUCCAGUGC